rnacentral:rRNA from 1 species
ACGGAGGAUGCAAGCGUUAUCCGGAUUCAUUGGGUUUAAAGGGUGCGCAGGCGGAAUAAUAAGUCAGUGGUGAAAGCCUACAGCUUAACUGUAGAACUGCCAUUGAUACUGUUAUUCUUGAGUGUUGUUGAGGUAGGCGGAAUGUGUCAUGUAGCGGUGAAAUGCUUAGAUAUGACACAGAACACCGAUCGCGAAGGCAGCUUACCAAGCAACAACUGACGCUCAUGCACGAAAGCGUGGGGAUCAAACAGGAUUAGAUACCCUGGUAGUCCACGCCGUAAACGAUGAUCACUCGAUGUUGGCGAUACACAGUCAGCGUCUUAGGGAAACUAUUAAGUGAUCCACCUGGGGAGUACGGUCGCAAGAUUG